UAGGGAAUCUUCCGCAAUGGACGAAAGUCUGACGGAGCAACGCCGCGUGAGUGAAGAAGGUCUUCGGAUCGUAAAGCUCUGUUGUUAGAGAAGAAGAGUUAUGGGAGUAACUGACCAUAAUGUGACGGUAUCUAACCAGAAAGCCACGGCUAACUACGUGCCAGCAGCCGCGGUAAUACGUAGGUGGCGAGCGUUGUCCGGAUUUAUUGGGUGUAAAGGGAGUGUAGGCGGUUUUUUAAGUCUGAUGUGAAAGCCCACGGCUCAACCGUGGAGGGUCAUUGGAAACUGGGAGACUUGAGUGCAGAAGAGGAGAGUGGAAUUCCAUGUGUAGCGGUGAAAUGCGUAGAUAUAUGGAGGAACACCAGUGGCGAAGGCGACUCUCUGGUCUGUAACUGACGCUGAGGCUCGAAAGCGUGGGGAGCAAACAG
rnacentral:rRNA from 1 species